AGGGGUGGAGCUAGAACUGGACACCUCGGGGGUUUCCUGCUUUAUGGCGAAGGGAGUGAUGCUUCCCCCUCUGUGAAUGUGGCUUUGGGUAUGGCUAAUCCACACCCUGCACUCUGGCCUUCAGAAGCCCAGGGAGAGAAGCCUCCCAGAAGCAACCUUCCAGAACCUUCUCCAUCCUCCCACCGACCUCCCCAGCCCCUGUCCUCUCUUUGAAUCUCGUUGUCAAGUUCUUCCCGCAGACACCUGGCUCCUUGAGGGGAGGUGCAGCUUUCAUCUGACCAUGCAGGCGUGCUUUGCAGUGGGUAGAGCAGUGCUUUCCUCCUCCCAGCUGCACACUGGAAUCACCUGGAGAGUCCAGAAACUUCCCGCCUCAGUGAAAGAACAUCAGUGUAUCAGCACAGCAAAUAUUCCAAAUGCCAGGCUGGAUUCCCUCCAAUUACCAGGACCUCCAGGCUUCUCCUCCUUUCAAGAACUUUCUGACCCUGGAUCCAGUCUAAAUGUUGGUUAUAAACUCACCUGACAUCCACAGGGCCCUUCCAAAAUACUGUCAAGGCUGACUGCUGGUGCCUGGAACCUGCACACCCUCCUGGGACUCUGCAUCUCUGCUGGGGCUGGUUUCUCCUCUGAGCCACCUUAAGGAAUCCCACCCUGACCCGGUCAGAGCUCACCAUGCCUCCCUCUCCUACUUGCUCAGCAUUUUGUGUCUAUCUAGACUGAAGCCUUUGCUUUCUCUCUGUGAUUAUGGUGAAAGUUCAGUUUGCUUUCCUAUCUCUAGAAUGUCAGCACGAAGGCAGAGGCAUGGUCUCCUGAGUUCCAUAACCCCAAAGCCUAACUCCCUGCCUGCCACACUGAGGGGCUUAGUAGACAUUGACUUACUAAAUUGAAUAGUUGAGUAAUAAUGCUCUUUGAAAUAAUUUGGAGUUAGAUCUUGAGCCUUGUGUGGCCAGAGGAUGGGUGAGGACACAUCAUAAAAACUAAAGGUAACUGAGCAUGCCAGUGGUUGGGGUGAGAAAUUUGCAUGGAGCACUCCAGACACAGAGGCAGCAAAACCCAAGUGCUGGGAAGUCAGAGUGAGAGAGUGAAGGGGCAGUGAGUGCUUCUUUAGGAGCUGGAUCAAAACCUAAGAUGAUCUGGCCACAUGGUGCAGACUGAGCACACACUUGGGAGAGAAAUGGGCCAGGAGGAGAGGAGAGAGGUUCACCACAGGACAGUGGAUGACUGGGAAUAGAAGCCCUCCCCAUGGUGGACCAAGAAGUCUGUGAAGCUGAGAGAAAGACAAAAGAAAUCACGACUUCUGUAGGUAGCUGGGAUGGAAACCUCAGGGGUGACAGGGUCUUUAAAGGAAAUCUCAAGGAAGGCAUCAUGUUCUGGGUGUGCUCCAGGGAUGCUGAGUAAGAAAAGACCAGCCUUUCUGUGUGUGUCUUUACUCUGCCACAAGGCACCUGGGCUCCUAAAUGACCAAUACACAUGUGCUAUACUGGUGCCAAGAAAGAAGGGUGUUUUGUAGGAAAGUCAAGGUGAGAGGAGGUGCCCAGGACUUGGCUCCUUUCUUUGAAGGGUGACGGUGUAAAUUCUCCAUGCUGGGGAUCCUACUGAUGGAUGGAGGCAUGUCGAUCUCAUCAUUUCACAGAGUGGGGAGCUAUGGCCACAACGUGCCUAUCACACAAGUCCAGCCUCACGUCAGCUGGACACCAGCUGUUCUGACACUUGUCAGCACAUGGGGCACCCGGAAGUUCAUGGUGUUCUGCAAAGAACGCCACAAAACAGUGAGCUCAACUUCUUGAAAGUCAUAAUGUGUUGCUAAGUCCGAUCCCAGAUCCUAAAAAUAAUAUGAGGUAGUGGCCAUUGAACAGAAAAAAUUUACAUCUUAAACUUGAAGAUAAGUACAAGUGUACCUUUUUCUACCACUGUUGUUCAGUUUUAUUAUAUUGACAAGCACCUCUGCCCACCCUGUGGGGUAAAACUGUUUGAAAGUGUUUAUGAAAGUUUUAUAUAAAUAUUGGUUGAUCAAAUGUACAAAAUAUGCAUGAUGGCACCAUAUUGUGUAUAAUAGUGACAAAUACAGUCUAUGUGGGUGGAGAAACAAGCUCGGUGUUGUGCAUGCGGCUGUGGUUUGUGUUCACACUUCUCCUUUAGAGUGUAGUAGACAGAACAUGCCUGAACUGCCUGGGGCUGAGGGGUCUCAGGCGCAGAGUGGCCCAGGAAUUCUGAGCAAGGACAGAAUGUUAGAGAGAAUAUCCUGAGCUGAGCAGAGAGGCCUGCCCAUGCUAGCUGGCAGCCACCUGCCUUCAGUGCUUCAUUCUUGGGGGACCUUGAGGCCAGUUCUUGAGUGGAUGAGUCCUGCCGCUACUGCUGCUGCCCACUUGGUAGCUCUGUCCUCAUCUGGGAAGAGCCACUGUGAACCCCAGAGACCUAGUGGUGCUAGGGGCUGAUGCAGGCAAAUGACUGGCUGCCCCUGGAUCUUAUGUGAAAACAAGAAUGCUGGACCAAAAGGUCUCUACAGGGCUCCAUGACUACCCAUGACCCGUAACUUCAGUGAGGAGCUAGUGGCCAGGAGGGGCUCAUGGUUGGACACUGGUAUUCCUCUACUCAGACCUUAAACCACAGGUUGCAAGAACAGGGAGGUCACAUGUCAGUGACCUCAUGCCUAAAUAGAUGCAUAGCACAGAGCAGAUUCCUGGAUAGCUUACACCCUACUUUCCCCAGUGCAUCGAUUAUGACUUCCUUUCUAGCAACUGUGAGUACAGCCGGGACUCAUCAAUCACACCUGUAACUUCCCAGCUGCAUUUCUCAGGGUCUCUGAAAGCAGGGCCUUCUCUGGUCUUUUUAAAUUACCCACAGACCUAGGACAGUCUUCUGCACAUACUUCUACAUUUUAAAGGCUUACUUUUAGUAUGUUUAUGUGUGUGAGAUGGGGAAUAUUGUAUUCAUGUGUGCAUGUAUAUGUCUGUGAGUACUGUGGUCUGUGUGUGUAACUGGGUAUGACUGUGUGUGUCAUAUGGAUACAGGGGACUAGAAUGAGGACAGCCAGGUGUCCAGGCUAUAAGAUCUAAGGAGGCACUUGCUCUCAGGGCCAACCCUGCCCUUGCGUGAGCCUGAGAGAGAGAGCCUCCUGGAAUUUUGCACCUUGAGUGCCUUCCUGCUUCACCCUAAUCCCCCCGGUUGUCUGUAUGUUUGGAUGUGAGUGUUGUACAUAUGCUGUGUAUGUGUGUGCAUGCAUGUGAGUGUGCAUGGGUGUGUGUCUGUAUGUCUCAGCAGCUGUCACUGGGCUUCCCAGUCCCUGUCAGCAGGCGAAGGAGGCCCCUUCAUUUCCUUGGGUCCUGCUUAUGCAGCACAGGCCACAGCAAAGGCUCCCUGGGUUGGGUCAGCCCUCACUCUAACUCAACAUGCCCUGGAAGUCACCACAGGGUCAUGGAAAGAGUCCUGGUGAUGAGAUGGAGUGUCUGCUCUGCCACAAGGGCUGUGGGACCAGGGUCGGGGCAUACCUCUCUGGGUCUCAGUUUCCUCACUGGUAAGAUGUGGCAACAGAAUCUCAUCUGUGAGCCCCCUCUAGCCUUGAACAACUCUGGAUCCAGGUAGACCAGCAUAAUGAAAGCCUAUGAAGCUUCUGAGAUGUGCGAGGCAUACAUUGUCCCAGGUACUCAAGUAACUCAAGUCUGGAAGCUGCGAGCCACAGAGAUCAAGCCUUCUCCAAAAAUUGGACUGCAAGGCAUGCCGUACAAACAGAGUGCUAGGAGACCUUGGGGAGGUGGGGAAGAGGAAGAGGAAUCAUGGACAGCUUCAUGGGGAGGUGGCUUUGGAGCUGGGAUGGGUGAGGACAGCUGGAAUGUGGGCAGCACGUGACCAAGUGCUUUGCAGACAUGGCAUGGCCCCCAGCCAGGCCCUGAGGAAAGGAGAGUCUCAGGACAGCAGCUAUGUCACUGUAAGCAGGACCCUUGAAAGCAGGUGCCACCUGCAAAAGGGGGAGCCCUGAGGCCCAGGCAGGCCUGUCACAGUGUGGGGCACCUGUCUAGACAGCCCCAUGGCCAGCAGUGGGGGUGGGCCAUGGGCCAUGGGGACCUUCCUGGUAUGGGGUACUGCCAUGUCCCCAGGGAAUAUGGGGGGCCCAGGAAGGUCCCCAAGGCUCGAAGGACCCAGGUCUUUUCAUACUGCCAAAGAGAUGUAAGGCCUACAGAGGGGAAAGUUUGCAUAUCUGUGAAGGCAUGGAGCCUAGGCAUUGGAAGUGUCCAGUAAGCAUUUUCAUUUGGCAGAAGUAUCUCCAUGGCACUUCUACCUACAGCCCUGCCACAUUUUGCCACAAACUGUCCAGCAGCCCUGAGAUGGAGCCCCAGUGUAGACCGUCAUGGAGCACACUGGCUCUGGAACAAUGAGGAGCAGACUGGAGAAAGCCAGAUGGGGUUUACCUGUCAACAGCCACAACAUAGUUGUGCUGGGGUGACUGUUCAAGAAAAAUGAACUUUGGUGCUCCUGCCGAAUGGGUUGUUAGUGUUCAGUCCUUUUCCUACCACUGAGUUGUUUUGUCUGAUCAUUCUUCCUCCUGGUUCUGCGGGUCUGCCUUCUUGAAAGGGAAGAGCAAGACUCCAGCUCCCUGCCCUGUAGAGGUGCCUUCUACCUUGCUCAGUGUUGAAGCAAAGGAGCAAAGCAAAGCUUAAGUCAGAGAUUUGGUGCUCAGCUAAUCACAGAGACUUUUAAAUGUCAACCAGGGUUUGCUAUCAGGCCAAAGCUGGAUUAUUAUUACCCAAAGUAGAAAAUUGUGAGACAGAGGCAGGUGGGGAGGGAGGGAGAGAGAAGAAAGCAGAAGGUGGAGGAUACGUGGAUUUAAUUUUUUAAAAAUAAAUAUAUGAUUCCGUGUCAAUUAAAAACAAGUACCCCAGGCAAGUCUUCCUGCAGUCCUGUCUUAGCCGCACACACAGCAUAACUGCAAACCCACUUGAGCUCAUUUUUGCUCAAAGACCAACUCUAUUAAACCCUUAGAAUGUUCUGGAUUUCAACACACAGUCCACAGACAGCCAUUCUAUCAAAAGCUUAGUGUUUUCCCUAUGACUGGGUUUUCUGGUAAGGUGAACUAAGGCAUCCUUUUCCAUUUCAGGCUGUGGUAACAGCAGAUAACAGCCGCAGAGGUCAUAGCCAGCACUUUCUAUGCGUCCCUUCAUUUAAUCCCAGUACUCCUAGGUGGUAGAUCUAUUAUUUUGUCCACAUGAAUUAUUGAAAAGUCUGUCCUAAAUUUUAAAUGGAACGAAGUACUGGGUUGCAAGUUACUGGUGGCUGUUUCACAGGAAAUACUACGACAAUGGGACUUUGGGAAUGUGUUCUGGAGACUCCACUCCUUGGUGACUACUACAUGGAGCACAGAAAAUUGUCUUGAGUGGCAGCUAUGUGCCAGGUGAGGAGACAGGUUUUACUCACAUGACUCCCCAGAAGCCCUGCAGCAUCCCCAUAUUUUAUAAAGGGGAAGUACAAGCCCAGAGAGACAUCUGACUUGACUAAGUUCACACAAAAACAGCAAGGUCUGGGCCAAGAUGGAAGCCCGGGCUUUGCCUUCUUCUUCUGCCUGCAGGGCAGGGGCUUUCAUCCUGGCUUCACGCUGAUUUCAAAAGCCUCUCAUUCUCUUGACACCUCAUGGCCCCUGAGUUUAUCCCAAGAAUAAUAAGUUCUACUGUCCUCCUGGAGAUGCCGAAGAAUCAAAACUGCAACACACAGAGGGCCUGGGUGUGCGCGAACACUGUAGUACACACCGAUGACAGCAGAUUAAGCCAUUUCUCUCUUAGGUGCGUCACCCAACCAGCUCCUGGACCCUUCUGCUGUGCUGCCCUGACAGUCACAAUAUGUCCUAGUGGACUAAUUAGCACUAACUACCCAUGUCACCCCAAGGCCAUUUAAGAAGACAAAUAAAAAAGACAAAACCAAUGAGUAUUGUGGCUGAAGAUGACGAAAAAAAGUUAAAAGCAGGGAGGAAUGAAUUAUUUUUUCUUUCUCAAUCUCUCCCUCUGCUUAAACCAAAGAGAGGUUUUCAUCUGAGAGCCCGGGAGCUAAGCAGCUACUUUCUACAUGAAAAAGUGAAAACAUUAAAAUAAAAUCCCUUUCUUUCAAGCUAACGUUCUAAAACUGAACCUCUGCAGAGGCUCCAAAAGAGAAAUGCCUUGCUUUUAAGCCCCUGAGUGAGAGGGAUCCUGAGGAAGUGGCAGAGGGGAUGAACCUAAGCUUUGGGACAUAACAACCGGCACCUCCAGUGGCCACCACUCCUAGCUAUGCUGCCUGUGGAUGGGGCCCCCAGUGCUGGCCCCUAACAGCAUGGGGAAGCCUCCCCAGCCACUCUGAAGCUGUUCGCAUCACAUCCAAGAUGAACCUAGGCAGGGAGGCUGAGUGUGCUUGGGAGAUGCCAAGUUAGGGAAGUAAGUUCCCCAGGGUCCUUCAACUUGUGGUGCCUGAGGAUAGCUGCUUUUUUUCCAGUGCAGAUGGAGACACGGCAGCCUUGGGGGGAUGUGUGAAAGUAAGGCCUCCCUCCCUCUGCCUUUCCAAGUGGCUGAUCAUCUCCUUCCUUCUCAUAGCUACUUCUAGGAGAGGCAUCCAGGCAGGAACCACUUCUCCAUUUCACAGAUGGGAAGACUGAGAACCAUACUGGAAAGGGGUGUAUUUUAAUUAAACUGGAGAGUGGGGAACACUGAUGAGGAAAGCAAGCUGAUAGACGGAAGGCUCUGCCUGUCACUGCCAGCACGGGCACUUGGGCCUUCUUAUCAAGGGUUCUGAUGGGAGUUUCCACUAGGAUUCCAGGUGUCGAUCAUCUAGUAGCCGAGUUCUGAUGAGCUGGACUUUGGGUGGUUGAGGUAGGGAGCAGUGGAAAGGGGAAUUGGAGUCUUAUCAACCUCUUUGAACACCAGUUCCUUCCCCUCUCUUCUAUAAAAAUGUCGUAGCAAUACCUGCCUGGCAGAGUUGUGAGAAUUAAAUGAGAUGAUGAAUACAUCUGCUCUCAGCACCACACCACACCUGUGGCAGUCCUCAGAGAGAAGAAUCACAGCUUUCAUUCAUUGAGAGCUCACUAAGUGCCAGGUAUGCUCAGCUCUUGUGCAGACGUUCUUUUUCUUUGGAUGUAAAUGUGACAUGGGCAGAGCAGGAGGAGCUGUGAGGCUGGCUUGGCUGAGCCACAGGGAUUGCUGGCAUCUUAUAUGGCAUUCAGGACUAUGGAGGGUCCACGGGAAGAAACACAGAAACAGAACCCAAGUAUCCUUCGGGGACUCUUGGACUUUCUUCCCCUUGAUCUUAGACAUGCCUCAGUAAACAGAUGCUGGUUUCUAUCGAGACUCAUUCCUGGGGAAGGACCCCCACCAGCCAAGCAAGGUAAAGCCCAGACUCAGUUACAUGAAUUACAGGUUUAAGACAGAAGCCUUCCUAUGAAUAUUUUUCUGGCCAGUGGCUUAUAUAAGAGAAAUUUGCUCAUUGUAUUUCUAUCUGGCCAACGAAGGGGUCUAGAGGGGCUUUCAGCAACCCAAACAGUCUUGUCAGCCCUAACUCUGGACCUAAGGAAAUAAUUAUGAAUCCUCAAGAUCCAUUUAAAAGUGUCAUUACUGUAGAUAAACAAAGACGAGUGGAUGCUUCUUCCUACUCCACCUCACUGCAGAGAUUCCAUCCAUCCCAGGGUCACUGACCACUGACUGGAUGAACUAGGAUUGGUGUGGCAGAGUGGAGUUUUCAGGAGCCAAGAGACUCCUGGAUUGUCAUGCUCUGUACUCCUUCCCCACGAAAGGAAUGUCUAGAACUCCUGCUGAAAGUAGUCAUUGCCUGCAUUUCCUAGGCAGAAUGUGUUAGCUCCCUCCCCAGAAGAACCUGGGCGAAGAAGGUGUUCCAAUCUGCAUUUGGAAAGAAUCCCUCCCGCAAAGAACUCUACACCCUCUAAGAGAAGAUAACGUGAGGGCAUAUUCUCCUCUCUUAGAGGGUGUUUUCAAUACUAAAUUCUAUCUCUGAAGAGAAUGAGGACCCGAAGGGGGGCAGUGCACCA
ensembl:lncRNA PAX8-AS1 PAX8 antisense RNA 1